rnacentral:rRNA from 1 species
AACGAACGCUGGCGGCAGGCUUAACACAUGCAAGUCGAGCGCCCCGCAAGGGGAGCGGCAGACGGGUGAGUAACGCGUGGGAAUCUACCCAUCUCUACGGAAUAACGCAUGGAAACGUGUGCUAAUACCGUAUACGUCCUUCGGGAGAAAGAUUUAUCGGAGAUGGAUGAGCCCGCGUUGGAUUAGCUAGUUGGUGGGGUAAAGGCCUACCAAGGCGACGAUCCAUUGCUGGUCUGAGAGGAUGAACAGCCACACUGGGACUGAGACACGGCCCAGACUCCUACGGGAGGCAGCAGUGGGGAAUAUUGGACAAUGGGCGCAAGCCUGAUCCAGCCAUGCCGCGUGAGUGAUGAAGGCCCUAGGGUUGUAAAGCUCUUUCACCGGUGAAGAUAAUGACGGUAACCGGAGAAGAAGCCCCGGCUAACUUCGUGCCAGCAGCCGCCGUAACAC